rnacentral:rRNA from 1 species
GACGAACGCUGGCGGCGUGCCUAAUACAUGCAAGUCGAGCGAAGCGGCUGUUUGGUGAGUUACGCGUGGGUAACCUGCCCCUACGUCUGGGAUACCAUUUGGAAACAGAUGCUAAUACCGGAUACUGAUGGAUGGACCUGCGAUGCAUUAGCUAGUUGGUAAGGUAACGGCUUACCGAGGCGAUGAUGCAUAGCCGGGUUGAGAGAAUGAUCGGCCACAUUGGGACUGAGACACGGCCCAAACUCCUACGGGAGGCAGCAGUAGGGAAUCUUCCACAAUGGACGAAAGUCUGAUGGAGCAACGCCGCGUGAGUGAAGAAGGUUUUCGGAUCGUAAAGCUCUGUUAUUGGUGAAGCGGUAAUCAACCAGAAAGUAACGGCUAACUACGUGCCAGCAGCCGCGGUAAUAC